rnacentral:sRNA from 1 species
UUUACUGAGUUUUGAUCCAGAGUUGGACAAUGAAACGUGAUAUUUACCAUAAUGAUUAACUGGGUCAGUAGUUAGGAAGGAGAAUCAUUUCAAGAAAAGCCAUUCGUCUCAAUGAGAGUGAUACAGUCUAUUUAUGGAUGGCCAGUCAAUGAGGAUAACUUGUCUGUGUAAUACAUGUAUAUUUGUGUAAUACAUGUAUAUCUGUGUAAUAUAUGUAUAUCUGUGUAAUACAUGUAUAUCUGUGUAAUAUAUGUAUAUCUGUGUAAUACAUAUAUAUCUGUGUAAUACAUGUAUAUCACAUGGGAAAGAAACUAAAAUUUUGUUUUUGUG